CCUACGGGGUGCAGCAGUGAGGAAUAUUGGUCAAUGGACGCGAGCCUGAACCAGCCAAGUCGCGUGCAGGAUGACUGCCCUAUGGGUUGUAAACUUCUUUUGUAAAGGAAUAAAGUGAGGUACGUGUGCCUGUUUGAAUGUACUUUAUGAAUAAGGAUCGGCUAACUCCGUGCCAGCAGCCGCGGUAAUACGGAGGAUCCGAGCGUUAUCCGGAUUUAUUGGGUUUAAAGGGUGCGUAGAUGGUCUGUUAAGUCAGUUGUGAAAGUUUGCGGCUCAACCUUAAAAUUGCAAUUGAUACUGGCAGGCUUGAGUACAGUUGAGGUAGGCGGAAUGUGUGGUGUAGCGGUGAAAUGCUUAGAGAUCACGAAGAACUCCGAUUGCGAAGGCAGCUUACUAAGCUGCCACUGACAUUGAGGCACGAAAGUGUGGGUAUCAAACAGGAUUAGAUACCCGAGUAGUC
rnacentral:rRNA from 1 species